GGCUCCAUCGUCUAGUGGUUAGGACACCUGGUUUUCAUCCAGGUAAUCGCGGGUUCGACUCCCGCUGGAGUCA
rnacentral:tRNA from 1 species